AAAGGCCACCACGAAAGCCUUCUUAUUUAGUCUGAGCUUUCACAAUUCCAGGCUCUUGCCAGUCUCAGGAUUUUUCUCGUGAAUGAACCAGGAAGGUCCAAGAGAUGGGCCUUGCUAUGUUGCCCAUCAGGUUUUGAACUCCUGAGCUCAAGUGAUCCUCCUGCCUCAGCCUCCAUAGUCGCUGGGACUACAGACAUGUGGGCUUAAAGCCAUCCCUCACUGAUCCCUGCUAGCAGAUGAAUAUAUCGGAAGGUGAUGAGUACGAAGGAGCUUGGCUGCCAGCCAGGCGGUGUCGGAAAAGGAUGGGAAUUAUGUUGUUGUGAACCUAAAGCUGCUCCAGGAAAGUCUAUCGAAAAGUUAAAAACAUUUAAAUAAACAAAUAAAAGGAUGAGAAUGUUGAAAUGCUAAAA
rnacentral:lncRNA from 1 species